UCUCCGGUGGGUGAGGAGGCCUGGAAUGGUUCCUCGUUGAAAGGGCGCUGAAACCAUGCUUUUCGGCGUUGCCCAAGGAUGGGGCCGCGGCCGAUCAGGUUGUUGGUGGGGUAACGGCUCACCAAGCCUUUGACCGGUACGGGCCGCGAGAGCGGGAGCCUGGAGAUGGGCACUGAGACAAGGGCCCAGGCCCUACGGGGCGCAGCAGUCGCGAAAACUUCGCAAUACACGAAAGUGUGACGGGGCUAUCCCGAGUGCCGUCCGCUGAGGAUGGCUUUUCCCUAGUGUAGAUAGCUGGGGGAAUAAGGAGAGGGCAAGUCUGGUGUCAGCCGCCGCGGUAAUACCAGCUCUUCGAGUGGUGGGGAUGUUUACUGGGCCUGAAGCAUCCGUAGCUGGCUGGGCAAGUUCUCUGUUAAAUCCAGCGAUUUAAUCGUUGGAUUGCGGGGAAUACUGCUCGGCUUGGGGGCGGGAGAGGUCGUCGGUAUUCUUGGGGUAGGGGUAAAAUCUUAUAAUCCCAAGAGGACCACCAGUGGCGAAGGCUGUCGGCUAGAACGCGCCCGACGGUGAGGGAUGAAAGCUGGGGGAGCGAACCGGAUUAGAUACCCGGGUAGUCCCAGCUGUAAACGAUGCAGGCUAGGUGUUAGAGCGGCUACGUGCCGCUUUAGUGCCGCAGGGAAGCUGUUUAGCCUGCCGCCUGGGGAGUACGGCCGCAAGGCUGAAACUUAAAGGAAUUGGCGGGGGAGCACCACAAGGGGUGAAGCUUGCGGUUU
rnacentral:rRNA from 1 species